AAAUUGAAGAGUUUGAUCAUGGCUCAGAUUGAACGCUGGCGGCAGGCCUAACACAUGCAAGUCGAACGGUAACAGGAAGCAGCUUGCUGCUUCGCUGACGAGUGGCGGACGGGUGAGUAAUGUCUGGGAAACUGCCUGAUGGAGGGGGAUAACUACUGGAAACGGUGGCUAAUACCGCAUAACGUCGCAAGACCAAAGAGGGGGACCUUCGGGCCUCUUGCCAUCAGAUGUGCCCAGAUGGGAUUAGCUUGUUGGUGAGGUAACGGCUCACCAAGGCGACGAUCCCUAGCUGGUCUGAGAGGAUGACCAGCCACACUGGAACUGAGACACGGUCCAGACUCCUACGGGAGGCAGCAGUGGGGAAUAUUGCACAAUGGGCGCAAGCCUGAUGCAGCCAUGCCGCGUGUAUGAAGAAGGCCUUCGGGUUGUAAAGUACUUUCAGCGGGGAGGAAGGUGUUGUGGUUAAUAACCGCAGCAAUUGACGUUACCCGCAGAAGAAGCACCGGCUAACUCCGUGCCAGCAGCCGCGGUAAUACGGAGGGUGCAAGCGUUAAUCGGAAUUACUGGGCGUAAAGCGCACGCAGGCGGUCUGUCAAGUCGGAUGUGAAAUCCCCGGGCUCAACCUGGGAACUGCAUUCGAAACUGGCAGGCUUGAGUCUUGUAGAGGGGGGUAGAAUUCCAGGUGUAGCGGUGAAAUGCGUAGAGAUCUGGAGGAAUACCGGUGGCGAAGGCGGCCCCCUGGACAAAGACUGACGCUCAGGUGCGAAAGCGUGGGGAGCAAACAGGAUUAGAUACCCUGGUAGUCCACGCCGUAAACGAUGUCUACUUGGAGGUUGUGCCCUUGAGGCGUGGCUUCCGGAGCUAACGCGUUAAGUAGACCGCCUGGGGAGUACGGCCGCAAGGUUAAAACUCAAAUGAAUUGACGGGGGCCCGCACAAGCGGUGGAGCAUGUGGUUUAAUUCGAUGCAACGCGAAGAACCUUACCUGGUCUUGACAUCCACAGAACUUUCCAGAGAUGGACUGGUGCCUUCGGGAACUGUGAGACAGGUGCUGCAUGGCUGUCGUCAGCUCGUGUUGUGAAAUGUUGGGUUAAGUCCCGCAACGAGCGCAACCCUUAUCCUUUGUUGCCAGCGGUCCGGCCGGGAACUCAAAGGAGACUGCCAGUGAUAAACUGGAGGAAGGUGGGGAUGACGUCAAGUCAUCAUGGCCCUUACGACCAGGGCUACACACGUGCUACAAUGGCGCAUACAAAGAGAAGCGACCUCGCGAGAGCAAGCGGACCUCAUAAAGUGCGUCGUAGUCCGGAUUGGAGUCUGCAACUCGACUCCAUGAAGUCGGAAUCGCUAGUAAUCGUGGAUCAGAAUGCCACGGUGAAUACGUUCCCGGGCCUUGUACACACCGCCCGUCACACCAUGGGAGUGGGUUGCAAAAGAAGUAGGUAGCUUAACCUUCGGGAGGGCGCUUACCACUUUGUGAUUCAUGACUGGGGUGAAGUCGUAACAAGGUAACCGUAGGGGAACCUGCGGUUGGAUCACCUCCUUACCUUAAAGAA
rnacentral:rRNA from 3 species